UACGUAGGUCCCGAGCGUUGUCCGGAUUUAUUGGGCGUAAAGCGAGCGCAGGUGGUUUAUUAAGUCUGGUGUAAAAGGCAGUGGCUCAACCAUUGUAUGCAUUGGAAACUGGUAGACUUGAGUGCAGGAGAGGAGAGUGGAAUUCCAUGUGUAGCGGUGAAAUGCGUAGAUAUAUGGAGGAACCCCGGUGGCGAAAGCGGCUCUCUGGCCUGUAACUGACACUGAGGCUCGAAAGCGUGGGGAGCAAACAAG
rnacentral:rRNA from 1 species